rnacentral:rRNA from 1 species
GACGAACGCUGGCGGCGUGCUUAACACAUGCAAGUCGAACGGAAAGGCCCUGCUUUUGUGGGGUGCUCGAGUGGCGAACGGGUGAGUAACACGUGAGUAACAUGCACUUGUCUUUGGGGUAACAUCAGGAAACUGGGGCUAAUACCGGAUAUGAGCUCCUGCUGCAUGGUGGGGGAUGGAAAGUUUCGGCGGUUGGGGCUGGACUCGAGGGUUAUCAGCUUGUUGGUGGGGUAGUGGCUGACCAAGGCUUUGACGGGUAGGCGGCCUGAGAGGGUGGCCGGCCACAAUGGGCCUGAGAUACGGCCCAGUCUCCUACGGUCGGCAGCAGUGGGGAAUAUUGCAGAAUGGGCGGAAGCCUGAUGCAGCGACGCCGCGUGCGGGAUGACGGCCUUCGGGUUGUAAACCGCUUUCGCCUGUGACGAAGCGUGAGUGACGGUAAUGGGUAAAGAAGCACCGGCUAACUACGUG